GACAGAGGUGCCGAGCGUUAGGCGGAAUCACUGGGCUUAAAGCGUGUGUAGGCGGGCGGGCAAGUACCUUGUGAAAUCCCACGGCUCAACCGUGGAACUGCUGGGUAUACUGCCUGUCUUGAGCCAGCCAGGGGCAGUCGGAACAGACGGUGGAGCGGUGAAUGCGUAGAUAUCGUCUGGAACGCCAAAGGUGAAAACAGACUGCUGGGGCUGUGCUGACGCUGAGACACGAAAGCCAGGGGAGCGAACGGG
rnacentral:rRNA from 1 species